rnacentral:tRNA from 1 species
GGGCGGUUGGCUCAGCGGCAGAGCGCUUCGUUCACACCGAAGAGGUCACUGGUUCAAAUCCAGUACCGCCCA